rfam:Aedes aegypti strain Liverpool supercont1.473 genomic scaffold, whole genome shotgun sequence.
GGGUUGGUGGUCUAAUGGCUACCGCUUCUGCUUUGCAAGCAGAAGGUCGUGGGUUCAAUCCCAGGCCCGUCCCU